GAUGAAGAACGCAGCGAAAUGCGAUACGUAAUGUGAAUUGCAGAAUUCAGUGAAUCAUCGAAUCUUUGAACGCACAUUGCGCCCCUUGGUAUUCCAUGGGGCAUGCCUGUUCGAGCGUCAUUUGUACCUUCAAGCUCUGCUUGGUGUUGGGUGUUUGUCUCGCCUCUGCGUGUAGACUCGCCUCAAAACAAUUGGCAGCCGGCGUAUUGAUUUCGGAGCGCAGUACAUCUCGCGCUUUGCACUCAUAACGACGACGUCCAAAAGUACAUUUUUACACUCUUGACCUCGGAUCAGGUAGGGAUACCCGCUGAACUUAAGCAUAUCAAUAAGCGGAGGA
rnacentral:misc_RNA from 1 species